UUAUAUAUAUGUAAGCCUCAAAUCUAUGUCCGGCCUCAAAUCUAUGUCCUUUCCGCAAAUCUAUGUCCGUUUUAAUAUUGCGUCAUAGAAGUUCCAAAUCUAUGUCCUUUAUUGUCUCAAAUCUAUGUCCUGUAUUGUCUCACAUCUAUGUCCUUUAUUUACUCAAAUCUAUGGUCAUUUUUGGCUCAAAUCUAUGUCCUUUUAUCGACGUAAAACAUAACAAAACGUCAUCAAGUAAACAAUGGAAAGUUAACAAUUACAGGUGUAAGUACGGUCUUCAACACAGAGCAUUAACCCACACCGAACAAAGAUUGUACAAGUGGUUUAUAUGACAGAAGCAAGGUUAA
rnacentral:lncRNA from 1 species